ensembl:lncRNA
CAACCACAACAGGAUAAAAUGUCUACAAAUACAACUGAUCUACAGCUAGUAUUCUAGAAGAUUAAAUGGUGUAUGUGUGCUUAUAUUCAGUACCGAAGGCACAACAACAUUGACGACAGAGAAGAGUACCUGCAGCAUUAAAUCCUUUAUUUUUCCUUUUUUAUUUUUUUUUCACACUCCAUCAGAGAACACUGAAAUGUUACAAAGAGAUGUGUCUUACUCUACGUGGAAAGAAAAAAACAAAAAACAAAAAAAACAACAGAUCAUCCUUUUCAUUAUCAACAGACAUGGAUGUUGCCAUAGAUUGGUGGCACAGAUUAACAGGAAACAAACUGCCACAGAAAUAGCAUUGUCUCUAGAAAAGACACAGGAUCUUUGCAAAGCUCAAAUGCAAAUUUAAUACAACCAAAAAUAAAAAUAAAAUAAAAAUAAAAAUGAUAACGGGCACCUUCUAAGAUUAGGCUAAGAUUAGGUGCUGAGGUAGACGAAAACUAUAAAAAUUCAAAUCAUAAUAAAAACACUAUUUUUUUUACACAGAGCAAUUUUGCCUGGCACUUGUGCUGUCACAAAAAAUGAGAGGGGGAAUAUAGCACAGACAAGCCAGAAAAAAAAGAGAAAGAGAGACAGAAAGAAAUAGAUACAAAGCUUUGUUACAUAAAAAGCUGUGUUGCGCUUGGUCCGAUAGGGCAAUUGGUCCUCAGUGCUAAUAUUUAGAAAAAUACAAUGUCUUAGUGCUUUACUUACUCUGUUUUUUGUCUUUUUAUUUUUUAUUCCUUUUUUUCUGUAGACCUCAAAUGGCACAUGCAUGGCAACACGGCAUGAAAUGGCUACUUGUUCUAGAGACAUCAACACCAAAACACAAAAGUGCCAGCUCCAAGGGAUGCCAGGAUUACCACCAGGUUUUCACUUUGUCAUCACAAUCUAAUUGUAUUUUUUUUAAGAAAAGAAAAGCACUUUUACCAGCAAGAGAGUUAAAAAAACAAGCAGAAGGGAAAGUUACUCCCCUGUGCCAACCUGCCGAAAUGGAGUUAUUUUUAAAUUUUGUUUUCAAGAGCAAGCAAAAGUUAUAGUCAGCAAACCUGUUGCUGACAUGGGGGCUUAUAAAUGUUAAAGAAACAUACACAAUUAUGCUAGACUUACUCAGUCAAUAUGCAAGCAAGCCAGCCAAUAUCAGUGAUAGGGCAUAAGAAAAAGAGAAAUCACAAAUAAUUUCUUUACAUUUUUUGAAAACAUUCUCCAUGUUGUAUGCUUUUGGUUUGGUUGCCAAUACUAGCCGAGACAUGGCGGGAAAAAUAUGGUAUACAGGAUUUUUCCAGCACAAUCCCAACGUUUACGGUGGAGAGGUUGGAAGGAGGGGCAGUGAGAAAAGACACUGAGACUCUUUCCAGAUUACCAGAUCAGGUUAUUUUGCAUGGUUUCUUUUGUAAGAGCGUCAUGACAUCCCUAGGGUGGCUGGAGACACCGUUAGCCUUUCUUCUGAAGAUACAGAAACUAAUAUAGAUGGACAUUUUUGAACAAUUUCCAUUUUUAGGCACAAAGAUAGUACAUAAACAUCAGAGAAAACACUGAGGGAAGAACUAUAGAAAUGCCAACGCACUAUGUAUAGAAUAAUCUUUUUUUUCAGAGGAAAAAAAAAGUGGCAUAGAACAUCAUUUUAUUUUGUGUCUGAUCGGAUUAGUGCAUUUUUCACUAAUACACACACACACACACACACACACACACACACACACACGCUUGCACACACACACACACACACACACACACACACACACACAAAGACACUUUUAUGCACUCGCCCACACAGAGAAAGUAGAAAACAUUCAUAGAAUCACAAUAGGAACAACUGAUCAGCUCUUGAUAUAUAGUGGCUUUUACACUGGGACCCGGACACAACGUACUAUUACAGGAUGGAUAGUGUGUGUGUGUGAGGGCGGAAAGAAAAAAUAGACCCUAGUCAUCACAGUGUUUUGAGAUUUAAAAAUGGCAAGACGCAAUAGGAAAAAGCAUCUCCUUACUUUUUUUCAAAUACAAGAAAAAAAAAAAAAAAAAGUAACGCUGACAAUCAAGUUUGAUUGAAAAGUCGCAAACGACAAGUACUUAUUGGUUGGCCGGUAGCAAUGGCUCCGCCCACCCCUCCCUCGCCAACCAAUCGAAUGUCUCCCCACCUUCCCUGCCCUGCUGUCAUUUGAGGAGCUUUUUUAUAUAUAUUUUUUCCUUGAAUGAAAAAUUGAUAUUCCUUUACACUUUACAAACACACACACACGCACACAUACUCACACAGUUGUGGCGGAUAAGACGUUAGUCCUUCAUCUACAAUGCGAUUGACAUCCAGGAAAAGCAACACUCAAGUACAACAUGUUCCACGCACAUACAUUGGGUUAUGUCCGACAAUAUCAAGGAGGAGCAAGGCUAAACCAUUUACACCCAGAGGGACCAAAAAACAAGAGACAUUAUAGGCAAUAAAAAAAAACAGGAAAUACAAAUAUUUGUGCCCUGCUGAUACCCUCAACAAAUGGGGAAAAACAAAAACCGACACGGAAUACAAAAAUAUCACAAUAUUUUAUAAUAGCUAUCAAAUUGCCUCGGUUGGCUCUCUCAGGAAUGCUCUGUUUUUCAAGAGCACUGGUCAACAAAGAGAAUCUUUAUUCUUAACCGUGUCUUUUUAAUUUUUCUUCUUCUUCUUCUUUGUUUUGAUUACGACUUGCAGGUCCACUUGUCCGACACGCUCCGCAAUCGCUGCGUCAUGUGACCUGUCCACGGGGGCAACGACAGCGGCGAAACUCGGGCAGUUUUUUCCAAUAACUUUUUUUGUCUUUUUUUUUUUUGUCUUUUUCAGCUUUUUCACAUUACAAAACUACAAUUCUAUUCACAUAUUUUCAAGUUUAAUUCUUUUUAAACCCUCUUUAAAAAGUUAUUCUCCCAACCUCCUCUUCCUACUCCACGUUUAAGGCUUCGGAAUUGUUCGGAAUCUGCUCUUCUACAAUGGCAGGGUGGGGGAUGCGAGAGGAUUGGAUUUUAAACAUCCGUUUGAAAGAUCUGUUGUUUUUCUUUUUUUAAACUCUCCUCAAUACUUUCUUAGCCUUUUCUGCUGUUGCGAUAAAAGUAUGUGCGAACAAUCAUAAAUCAACGUUUGAAAGCAUGAGAUGAAGUCGACAACAAAAAAAGCAAAACACAACACACAACGAAUGCAACAUGGAACAAAAAUGUGCUUUUUAAAAUGAAAAAAAAAAACGACAAACAACUUAGAGGUAGCUUUCAUAACAAAUGACCAAACCUUCUCGGCCUAUUCCCCAAGCAGAGUUAAAACAAUACCAAAUUUGGUAAACAAAUAAUGCACAAAGAAAUAUAAAAAAAGAAAACACGGAAAAUGCAUCUUCUUUUCGUGGCACUUAACAUUUUUCCGUGUACGCACAUUGCUUUAUCGUAUUGUGCAAUGUAUCUCUCUCGACACAUACCGAACAAAACCAAACGUUUGCCGAUGAAAAAAAGGUUAAAGUAAAAACACAAAACAAAACCAGCACAUGAGGUCACAUAAAAAAAGGAGGUAAUUCAAGUACAAUGUGUUGAGAUUUAGCUCAAGACAACGAUAGGAAAAAACAAGGGAGCCAAAGCGCAAGGCAUGGAACCACAUACAUGCAGAGUAGAAUAAUGCUGUCCUCUUACUGGUCAAUACUCGGCCCCUCCCAAACAGGCCGUGCAACAUGUUACCCCUCGCUCUGUGAACCAGCGCUCACCGCAGACCUUAUUUCGAUAUGUAUUUACCCUCGACAUCAGCGCUGUAACUCGCAGUGUUGCCUGAAAUACCUUUUGCCGCGGUCGACGAGGCUUGGCCUUUAUAAACCAGGUCUAGGUAAUCCUACAUCCCCCCCCCCCUGUCCCCGCCUCCCCCAGUCAAAUACAAACAAAAUCAACCUUCUCUGGGCUGUUCUUUCACAUUCAUGGUGUACAGUGAACAAAAAACGAAAUUGUCCGUGACCCGUCUCAACGGCCGCGCACAUUUAACCGACAAUGUGGGGGUUGGGGGAGGGGCGCGUCACGUGCAUUUCAAGCAUGUCUUCUCUAAAACAUUCACCACUGUUUUCUCACAGUUCUAGCAGAUCCUCGUCCUGCCCUCCCUCCUAUUUUUUCUGUUAUGCAGCCAUCUUGGUUGCAUGUUCCACGUCCAUUGUUGUGAAGAAUGGACCAAUCGGAUGAGUUCUCUUGAGAAAAAACAACAACCUCUUUGUCCGUUUGUCUUUAGUGUGAUUAGUUUAUAGGCGUCUUGUUACAUCGUACAAAGUACUACACCGAUAGUUUUGGAAAACAGACGAAAAAAAUAGAGAUAAAGAUAACACGAAGAAUGACAUUUGUAGACAACUGUGUUUUUUUUGUUUUUCUAUAAAGGACAGAUUGAGCGGUGCAUUAUAAUGUUGUGUUAUUGUAGUUGCGUAUUUUGUAAUGCUAUUUUUUCUUUUCCCCCCAGUGGCCUCUGUGAGGAUGUACUAUGAGACUGAAGCUUCGAACAGAAACUGUUGUCGUGAGGGGUUCUAGAUGUGCAGUCAAGCCGUGAAAAACGUAGGAUUGCAGCGACCUACCAAAAAAACAACAAAAAAACAAAGCAUCAUUAAUCAUGACGCGUCGGGCGGCCAUUGCUCUUCAGGAGGGCCCCCCGGGGUAGUAAAUAGACCCCCUCCUCCCAGCCCUUAUGCAACACAAGAUGGAGGAAGGAAGACCAGGAAGAACAGCAAUGACCCCCAUAAUAACAACAACCCCCCGCCCCCUUCAAAUUCCUCUCCAACCGUAAAUCCCACAGAGAGGAAGUGGGCGUCGCUGCCUGAAACAAUACCAGCGGCGAAAAAGUCUCUUUCUGCCGCCAUCCGACGCCGCCGCUGUGCCCUUUACAAAACGUGGCACCACGAAAAUAAAAUAAUCACGGCUAUGAUCGACCCGGUGAAUCCGAAAAGUGACUGAGAAUAUCUCUCCCUCUCGCUCCUUGCUCUCGCUUCUCCCUCGCACGUCCUCUCCCUCACUGGGCCACCGAGCGCCAUUUGUUGGAGCACUGUUCGUGGCACGGUGCCCUGCGAAACCGCUGUCCUCAUACCCACGUCGUUUCUUGCAUGACUAUGGGACAGCAACAACAAAAAACGUAACCCCCCACCCCCCCAACAAAAAUAAACGACGCACACCGUCGAAUUUAAAGUCUUUUUUUUUGUUGUUGUUGAC